AAUCACUUUCUUACUUCUGUAAUAAACGGAGCUGAUUUGGUUCCCACAUUUUCAGCUGCUUCAGUAGAUGACUUGCGUGCCGAGGUGACAGCAUCUGCUUGGUUGAAUGAUCUGAGGAAUCAAAUAGAACGUACCAGAAUACUUAGUAUGGUUUAUCGGCGGGCAGCGGAAAGACGUACACAAUCAUUGGAAUAACUGAAUACGCACUACCUGACAUAUAUGGAUACUCACAGAAGCACUAAGAAAGAGAUUUCGUGUUCAAAUUCUCUGCUAUGGAGAUCUACAACUAAUCGGUGAGAGAUCUACUCAGUGUAGACAACACUCCACUAAGACCUCUCGAUGAUACAAAGAGAGAAACCAUUGUCGAGAGGCUGACAGAGGAGAUAUUAGGGGACUGGAGUCAUGUCAUUCAUCUCCUUUGUAUAUGUGAGGUUAAGAACUCAAAGACAAAUUGGAGACACGUCGCUUAAUGAAAUGAGCUCGAGAUCCCACCAAAUUAUUAGAUUGACUAUUGAGAGCUGUUCUCGUGACUUUUUAUGAAGGGACAUUGCGAGCACUCUUACAGCUGCUAUGGUAUGGAAUUUGUCUAAUAACAAAAAAAUAAUGGUAUAUCAUUAUUUAAUGUUUUUUUAAUCGGAAAUAUCGACACAAUUUUGUCGCUUUGGCUGGAAGUGGACGAGCAUCUUAUUCGUUAUUAGCUGGCACAAGGUUAAAAGAAGGCUGUCAUAUUAAUCGUAGUCUGCUUACGCUUGGAACUAUUAUUCGUAAGCUGGG